rnacentral:rRNA from 1 species
GAUGAACGCUAGCUACAGGCUUAACACAUGCAAGUCGCGGGGCAGCAUGGGGGUUGCUUGCAAUCCCCGAUGGCGACCGGCGCACGGGUGAGUAACGCGUAUCCAACCUGCCCUUCACCACGGGAUAACCCGGCGAAAGUCGGACUAAUACCGUAUGUUGUCCAUUGACGGCAUCCGAUUUGGACGAAAGGUUUGGCGGUGAAGGAUGGGGAUGCGUCCGAUUAGCUGGACGGCGGGGUGACGGCCCACCGUGGCGACGAUCGGUAGGGGUUCUGAGAGGAAGGUCCCCCACACUGGAACUGAGACACGGUCCAGACUCCUACGGGAGGCAGCAGUGAGGAAUAUUGGUCAAUGGGCGUAAGCCUGAACCAGCCAAGUAGCGUGCAGGAUGACGGCCCUAUGGGUUGUAAACUGCUUUUAUGCGGGGAUAAAGUGGCCCACGUGUGGGUUUUUGCGGGUACCGCAUGAAUAAGGACCGGCUAAUUCCGUG